AUGCCUGAGGCUGCCCCCGAACCCGCCCCGCCUGCCAAGAAGGCCAAGUUUGCCUCCGCCGUGACGACAACCAUCAGCGCCAAGCCGCAGGUGAUCGUCGCGAAGGCGCAACCAUCGUCCUCCGCGGCUGCCCCCGCCGCGCCCGUCCCCGCCCCCGCCGAGGAAGCUCCCCAACCCCACUCCACCAGCACUUCUGGU
rnacentral:ribozyme from 1 species